GGGCGUUUAGCUCAGCUGGUUCAGAGCGUCUGCCUUACAAGCAGAGGGUCGGCGGUUCGAAUCCGUCAACGCCCA
rfam:Bacteroidetes bacterium oral taxon 272 str. F0290 ctg120009420961, whole genome shotgun sequence.